rnacentral:rRNA from 1 species
GACAGAGGGUGCAAACGUUGCUCGGAAUUACUGGGCGUAAAGCGCGUGUAGGCGGGCUUUCAAGUCAGAUGUGAAAUCCCUGGGCUCAACCCAGGAACUGCAUUUGAAACUGUGAGCCUUGAGUGUCGGAGAGGAAGGCGGAAUUCCUGGUGUAGAGGUGAAAUUCGUAGAUAUCAGGAGGAACACCGGUGGCGAAGGCGGCCUUCUGGACGACAACUGACGCUGAGACGCGAAAGCGUGGGGAGCAAACAGG